UACGUAGGGUGCAAGCGUUGUCCGGAAUUAUUGGGCGUAAAGAGCUCGUAGGCGGUUUGUCGCGUCGAAUGUGAAAACCCGGGGCUCAACUCCGGGCCUGCAUUCGAUACGGGCAGACUAGAGUUCGGUAGGGGAGUCUGGAAUUCCUGGUGUAGCGGUGAAAUGCGCAGAUAUCAGGAGGAACACCGGUGGCGAAGGCGGGACUCUGGGCCGAUACUGACGCUGAGGAGCGAAAGCGUGGGGAGCAAACAGGA
rnacentral:rRNA from 1 species